AUGUGUUUCUCUAACAGGCCGCUGUCUCUGGGAAUCAUGUCUCGACAAAAGCAGAAUUUGCUGUGGCUGAUGAUCAUCUGUUGUGCUCCGUGCCGGAUAAGAACAGCCAGCUCAAACAAUGUGAAAGUCAACAUCCAAGUCAAUUCAACAGAUCAGUGUUUCUGGAACACAAGUAGCUCAACAGUUCCAGCUAUAAAUCUGACAUGUCUAUCAUAUGGCGAUAAUCAUAAUCAGAAUGUUGACAUAAUGAAUGUCAAACUAAACAUCUCUUCUCACGUUUCAGGACAAUGCACAACAUAUAGUUUCAACAUAACAAAACAGGGGAAUAAUUAUGAAGUCACAAUGAAUGAGACGGUUGAAGAAAUCAAAAUAUAUUUUAUGCCAGAUGAAUGUGAAUGUUUUCCAGAUCUGAUUACAGUAGGUCAUCCUGAGAAUUGCCAGACAAAGCUUGAUGACCUCUUCAAAUUGAUAUGCCUACACAAAGAUUGUACAGGAAUCUGUGCUGUUGAUCUUGGAGUGACAUGUAAGAAUGCUACAUACAAACCCUCUACAUGCAAAGAGAAAAGAAGUGGAUACAUUCUGCGUUUAAAAGAUCAGGGGAAGUGUGUGACCUGCAAUGUACCAUCUACACCUUGUAGUCGAGGGAACAAAACUGCCUGUAUCAAACAACCUGAGAUGAAACUCCCUACACUUAAAAUUGAAAAAGACAGCAAUGGAUUUAUUGAUCCCACAAAAGCAUCAGAAGCCUUGGACAAAACUGAAUCCCUGGUCAUGGAGAUGAAAAAAGACAGUAAACACAGUGCUUCGAUUGUCACGGGGGAUGUUACUGGUGUUAUCCAAAGACAAGCCGAGAACACAGACACUGAAGACUUUUGCUGCUCUUCAGAACAGGAUGUGAUGAAUGUAGGGCCUGUGAAGCAUUAAAGGUAUUAAAACAAGU
rnacentral:lncRNA from 1 species